CUCUCUCUCUCUCUCUCUCUCUCUCUCUCUCUCUCUCUGUGUGUGUGUGUGUGUGAGAGAGAGAGAGAGAGAGAGAGAGAGAGAGGGAGAGAGAG